rnacentral:rRNA from 1 species
UGGGGAAUUUUGGACAAUGGGCGAAAGCCUGAUCCAGCAAUGCCGCGUGUGUGAAGAAGGCCUUCGGGUUGUAAAGCACUUUUGUCCGGAAAGAAAACGCCGUGGUUAAUACCCGUGGCGGAUGACGGUACCGGAAGAAUAAGCACCGGCUAACUACGUGCCAGCAGCCGCGGUAAUACGUAGGGUGCAAGCGUUAAUCGGAAUUACUGGGCGUAAAGCGUGCGCAGGCGGUCCGCUAAGACAGAUGUGGAAUCCCCGGGCUUAACCUGGGAACUGCAUUUGUGACUGGCGGGCUAGAGUAUGGCAGAGGGGGGUAGAAUUCCACGUGUAGCAGUGAAAUGCGUAGAGAUGUGGAGGAAUACCGAUGGCGAAGGCAGCCCCCUGGGCCAAUACUGACGCUCAUGCACGAAAGCGUGGGGAGCAAACAGG